rnacentral:rRNA from 1 species
GAUCAUUGGUGGGGGUAGAGCACUGAAUGUGCGCGGGGGCCACAAAGCCUACCAAACGCUAUCAAACUUCGAAUACCAUACAAUGCAGACCAUGGGAGUCAGUCCGCGAGAGAUAAGUUCCGCGGGCAAAAGGGGAACACCCCAGAUCAACCGCUAAGGUCCCCAAGUUCACGUUAAGUGGAGAAGGAUGUGGAAUUGCACAGACAACCAGGAUGUUGGCUCAGAAGCAGCCACACAUUUAAAGAGUGCGUAAUAGCUCACUGGUCGAGUGAUUGUGCGCCGAAGAUGUCCGGGGCUAAACGUGACACCGAAGCGAUGGGUGCAUCUGAAAGGAUGCGCGGUAGAGGAGCAAUGUGCAGAGGCAGAAGCCGUAUCGAGAGGCACGGUGGACACUGCACAAGAGAGAAUGCCGGUAUGAGUAGCGAGAGGCAUGCGAGAAACAUGCCCGUCGAAAGCCCAAGGUUUCCUGGGGAAGGUUCAUCCGCCCAGGGUAAGUCGGGGCCUAAGCCGAGGACGGAAGUCGUAGGCGAUGGACAGCAGGUGUAGAUUCCUGCACUACCGAUGGAAUGAAGCAGUGACACAGAAGGAUAACUCGAGCAGGGUGAUGGUCAACCCUGUGCAAGCAUCAAGGUUGGGUUGUAGUGAAGUACGCAAUCCUAUAAGCUGAGAUGUGAUGCGGACCGAAAUUUCAGUAGGGAAGCGAGUGAGUUCACGCUGGCGAGAAAAGCUGCUAGUACAUCCAAAGGUACCCGUACCGGAAACCGACGCAGGUGGGCGAGGAGAGAAUCCUGAGACGAACGGGAGAACCCUUGUUAAGGAACUCGGCAAAAUGACCCCGUAACUUCGGGAUAAGGGGUGCCUGCGAGAGCAGGCCGCAGAGAAUAGUCACAAGCGACUGUUUAGCAAAAACACAGGUAUCUGCGAAAGCGAGAGCUGACGUAUAGGUGCUGACACCUGCCCGGUGCUGGAAGGUUAAGGGAACAUGUUAGAGCAAUCGAAGCAUCGAACCGAAGCCCCAGUAAACGGCGGCCGUAACUAUAACGGUCCUAAGGUAGCGAAAUUCCUUGUCGGGUAAGUUCCGACCCGCACGAAUGGUGUAACGACUUGUGAGCUGUCUCAACAGGGGGCCCGGUGAAAUUGAAGUAUGGGUGAAGAUGCCCAUUACCCGCGACUGGACGGAAAGACCCCGUAGAGCUUUACUGCAGCCUGAUAUUGAGUUUCGGUAACUGAUGCACAGGAUAGGUGGGAGUCUGAGAGACAUGGGUUUCGGCUCAUGUGGAGACGAUGUUGGGAUACCACUCUUCGGUUACUGAAAUUCUAACAUAGCUCUGUGAAACCAGAGGAUGGACAGUGUCAGGUGGACAGUUUGACUGGGGCGGUCGCCUCCGAAAGAGUAACGGAGGCGCCCAAAGGUACCCUCAGAAUGGAUGGAAACCAUUCGAAGAGCGCAAAGGCAGAAGGGUGCCUGACUGCGAGAUUGACAAAUCGAGCAGAGACGAAAGUCGGGCUUAGUGAUCCGGCGGUAUUGAGUGGAAAAGCCGUCGCUUAACGGAUAAAAGCUACCUCGGGGAU